GAUGAACGCUGGCGGCGUGCCUAAUACAUGCAAGUCGAGCGAAUGGAUUAAGAGCUUGCUCUUAUGAAGUUAGCGGCGGACGGGUGAGUAACACGUGGGUAACCUGCCCAUAAGACUGGGAUAACUCCGGGAAACCGGGGCUAAUACCGGAUAACAUUUUGAACCGCAUGGUUCGAAAUUGAAAGGCGGCUUCGGCUGUCACUUAUGGAUGGACCCGCGUCGCAUUAGCUAGUUGGUGAGGUAACGGCUCACCAAGGCAACGAUGCGGAGCCGACCUGAGAGGGUGAUCGGCCACACUGGGACUGAGACACGGCCCAGACUCCUACGGGAGGCAGCACGAGGGAAUCUUCCGCAAUGGGCGAAAGUCUGACGGAGCAACGCCGCGUGAGUGAUGAAGGCUUUCGGGUCGUAAAACUCUGUUGUUAGGGAAGAACAAGUGCUAGUUGAAUAAGCUGGCACCUUGACGGUACCUAACCAGAAAGCCACGGCUAACUACGUGCCAGCCGCCGCGGUAA
rnacentral:rRNA from 1 species